UCUCCGUAGGUGAACCUGCGGAGGGAUCAUUACUGAGUGAGGGUCUCCGGGCCCGACCUCCAACCCUUUUGUGAACCACCUCGUUGCUUCGGGGGCGACCCUGCCGUUUCGACGGCGAGCGCCCCCGAAGGUCUCCCAACACUGCAUCGUUGCGUCGGAGUUUAACACAAAUCAAACAAAACUUUCAACAACGGAUCUCUUGGUUCUGGCAUCGAUGAAGAACGCAGC
rnacentral:misc_RNA from 1 species